rnacentral:piRNA from 1 species
UUACAAAAUUGAAAUAAAAUU